UGGGGAAUAUUGCGCAAUGGGGGGAACCCUGACGCAGCAACGCCGCGUGCAGGAAGAAGGUCUUCGGAUUGUAAACUGUUGUCGCAAGGGAAGAAAAAAAUGACGGUACCUUGUGAGAAAGUCACGGCUAACUACGUGCCAGCAGCCGCGGUAAUACGUAGGUGACAAGCGUUGUCCGGAUUUACUGGGUGUAAAGGGCGCGUAGGCGGAUGUGCAAGUCAGUCGUGAAAUGCCGGGGCUUAACCCCGGAGCUGCGAUUGAAACUGCACACCUUGAGUAUCGGAGAGGAAAGCGGAAUUCCUAGUGUAGCGGUGAAAUGCGUAGAUAUUAGGAGGAACACCAGUGGCGAAGGCGGCUUUCUGGACGACAACUGACGCUGAGGCGCGAAAGUGUGGGGAGCAAACAGG
rnacentral:rRNA from 1 species